GUCGGAGAUAGCUCAGUCGGUAGAGCAUGAGGCUCUUAAUCUCAGGGUCGUGGGUUCGAAGGCACAUGUUGGGCA